GGGCCCGCACAAGCGGUGGAGUAUGUGGUUUAAUUCGAUGCAACGCGAAGAACCUUACCAGGGUUUGACAUCCUGCGAAUCUCUUGGAAACAGGAGAGUGCCUUCGGGAACGCAGUGACAGGUGGUGCAUGGCUGUCGUCAGCUCGUGUCGUGAGAUGUUGGGUUAAGUCCCGCAACGAGCGCAACCCACGUCUUUAGUUGCCAGCAUUUGGUUGGGCACUCUAGAGAGACUGCCGGUGAUAAACCGGAGGAAGGUGUGGACGACGUCAAGUCAUCAUGGCCCUUACGGGUUGGGCUACACACGUGCUACAAUGGCAUCUACAGUGAGUUAAUCUCCAAAAGAUGUCUCAGUUCGGAUUGGGGUCUGCAACUCGACCCAUG
rnacentral:rRNA from 1 species